AUCAAUGGCUAUAGGAGAGAGAUGCUCCCUCGAAGUUCAGUGUUUUGCUUAUAACCAUGAUUCGAUCUUUUUUUCUUAUUUCAUCAUGACAUUUCACUUCCCAUCUUCAUGCAAAUCAUCAUGGAAAUGAACAACGCUUUAGAAUGUUGUUGGCGAUUAGAAGCGUGUUAUUUUUGCUGUUGUUGUUGUUUCGAUUAUUAAGACGCAAUGGAAAGUCCAAAGUUGUUAAACCGAUAAAACAAGUUAUUGAUAAUAAUGUUAAUGCUUUUGUUGUUCCCCGGAACAUUUUUUGUGCAAUUUUCUAACAAAUACUACAGAGAAUUUUCAGUUGGCCACAUUCAUCGAUUCAAACGUGCGCGCGCACACACACACACACACACAUUUACAUUUGACUACAAUGGUCAGACAAGUUUACAUUCUGAACCGCACAAAAAUAGAUAUCAAUGGCUACGAAAGUGAAACCAGACAAGUAAUCGGAAUAUUUCCUAAUACAAACUAGCACCAUCGGAAGCAACAGCAACAAAACACAACAUCAUAUGUCUUAAACGUGUCUUGGCAAUAAGGUCGACAACGCUACCUUCUCUACUACCGCCGUGGCUGACUGGCUGGCUGGCUGGCUAAAUCAGACCAAAAGAAUUGUCCAGCAGCUCUGGUAAACAUACAAAUGUUUGUCUAGCAAAAAUUGGCGAGCACUCAGUGAAAUAACUCUCUGGAAUCACUCUCUUUUGCUAACCGACUAUUUUUCAGUAAAAUGUCUUAAUCAAAGUUUUUACCGGUGGCUUUAGAAUCUUCAGGAUUUUAAGAUGUUGUCGCUUAUUCCAAAUUCACUAGAAAUAUACCCACUUUGAACUUUUUAACCGGAAUGUCAUAAAUUGGUUCAAUUAUAGACAAAGCCAAUUUAUUACCGUUGCUAUCAGUACUAGACAUACACAUCAUUACCUUGAUGAGUAGAUCGAGCUUACGUUUCCUUUGCUGAAUUAAUGAAAAAUUUCAAAGUUUAUAUAAAAUUUUUAUCUUUUACUGGGGUCAAUUACUCAAUUUGAGUAUGAGUUGUAGCUCAAAAGAGUAUCGUAUUUUGAUAACAGCUUUUGUGUGAAUUACUCUCCAUAAACAAAGAUGACGAUCGACACUUGACUCAAACCCCCCCCCCCUAAAUGAUCGCAAAACAAUGUCUAUAAAACUUGGAGAUGUGACAAAAAUUGAACUGGAUUCUGUUGUGUGAUGCGUAUAU